rnacentral:rRNA from 1 species
GACGAACGCUGGCGGCGUGCCUAAUACAUGCAAGUAGGACGCAGUUGCGAACGGGUGAGUAACGCGUAGGUAACUGCCUAUUAGAGGGGGAUAACUAUUGGAAACGAUAGCUAAUACCGCAUACUAGUAGAUGGACCUGCGUUGUAUUAGCUAGUCGGUUGGGUACUGGCCUACCUAGGCAACGAUACAUAGCCGACUUGAGAGGGUGGUCGGCCAAACUGGGACUGGUAAACGGCCCAGACUCCCACGGGAGGCAGCAGGAGGGAAUCUUCGGCAAUUGGGGGAAACCUGACCGAGCAAAGCCGCGUGAGUGAAGAAGGUUUUCGGAUCGUAAAGCUCUGUUGUUAAGGAAGCGGUACUUAACCAGAAAGGGACGGCUAACUACGUGCCAGCAGCCGCGGUAAUUC